rnacentral:rRNA from 1 species
CCUACGGGAGGCAGCAGUGAGGAAUAUUGGUCAAUGGACGAGAGUCUGAACCAGCCAAGUAGCGUGAAGGAUGACUGCCCUAUGGGUUGUAAACUUCUUUUAUAUGGGAAUAAAAUGUUCCACGUGUGGGAUUUUGUAUGUACCAUAUGAAUAAGGAUCGGCUAACUCCGUGCCAGCAGCCGCGGUAAUACGGAGGAUCCGAGCGUUAUCCGGAUUUAUUGGGUUUAAAGGGAGCGUAGGUGGAUUGUUAAGUCAGUUGUGAAAGUUUGCGGCUCAACCGUAAAAUUGCAGUUGAAACUGGCAGUCUUGAGUACAGUAGAGGUGGGCGGAAUUCCUGGUGUAGCGGUGAAAUGCUUAGAUAUCACGAAGAACUCCGAUUGCGAAGGCAGUUCACUGGACUGCAACUGACACUGAGGCUCGAAAGUGUGGGUAUCAAACAGGAUUAGAUACCCGAGUAGUC